CCAGGGAGUGUCAACACUGUGUGCUGUUUAGAGACUUUCCUGGAAGUUUUCUGAUCUUGUUUCACCCACUCCUGACUAUAUACUCUCACAUGUAUCCAGCUGGGUCAAACCCUCUCAUGGAAUACCUGGAAAUUUCCACCAAAUGCCUCCAAAAACAUAAGGAACCAUUCCCUGUAAGAAUGCUGGAUGCUUCCACCUGUCGGAGCCCCUGAAGAAAGUCCCCUGAAAAUGCAGCCAGCACAGCAGAAGCCAGAACCAAAAGAAAUGAAGAGAAGAAGACUGGACUGGACAGCAUUUUUUUAAACCUGUCCUUGCACGUGAAGCCAGAACUUUUAAUUUACAACAAUGUGAUCAUUGGAGAAGAAGCUGAAAUAACAGAGGGCACCUGCUGUUACACAAUGGAUUGC